rnacentral:lncRNA from 13 species
GAUUUUGGCAGUUUCAAUUACUAGCCUGUUAUGGUUUCUGGAUCAACUGAUCUGUGAUGGGUCCUAUCAGCAAAGACACACAUUGAGGAGAGGGCCCUUCAUCUCCUUUAAAACCUGACACAUGCUGCCACGGGCUGUAAGUUAUUGCUUUUAUCCAUCCCCGCUCCCCUUCCCUUCCUCAUAAUUAAUUUCUCAUUAGACAGCUCUUUAUUGUUUAAUUUGUGCAGUUUAUAAUCAAAUUGGGCACAUUAAUUGUCGUUGAAUUUAAGGCUAAUGAAAAAUAAAGGUUUUCAAUAACUUACUCUUCCAUUACCCCCGACAAGAUAAAAUAAAGCACUCCAAGAAGUGUCAGCUUUUUAAAUUAUAAAUUAGGUUUUUUAAAGAGCAUGGGCAUUUAAGGAGCAGUUAUCACACAUUUAGUAAUUAUAAAUCCUAUGCUGCAAAACAAUUAUUAGGAUAUAAUUAUGCCGCUUUACUCUUAUGCAGCCCCACAGCUGGUAAAGGCUUGAUUCUUCGUUGCUGAUGGUGUGGGGGCUUCUGCUGGGUUUGAGGAGGAAAAAGACUCCAGUAGGGACCUAAGUUGGCAAACUUGGGGAGGUGAGGUGUCGCUGCCUUUUACUGAAACUGUUUCAUCUACGGGUUUAUCGAUUGGAACACCAGCUCAUGGGCUUAUCUCUGUCUUUUGGAUCUUUGAAAGACUGCCUAAGGCCCACUCAUGUGCCCAGCCUGUGCUGAGAUCUAGAGACACAGUGAAUAAGCAGACAUGGACCUUGACAGACAGACACACAGACAAAUGGAGGCACAGAAGAAGGAGAUGGAAAGACUUGGAGAGGUCAAGAUUUAAAACUAGGUCUCAUUUACACCUCAUCAUUUUGCACCCACCUUUCCAUGAGCACCUACUGUAUGCAGGAAACUAUGCCAGGGGUUGCAGGAGAAACUGGUGAGUCAGACAAGGUCCGGUUCUCAGAAUGAUGGGCAGAAGCCAGGCACGUUCACAGGAAUUCGAGAGAAUGAACACAAGGAGACAAGAGUGUCACAUCCAGUGUGGGCUAAACAUAGCACCAACCAACCUAGUUGGUCCAACUCUGUUGCUGGCUAUAUGGUGUGUAACAAUGAGAUUCAUGCAUUCAUUUGCUCAGCAACACUCUAGCAGGGCCCCAUGACCACAGGUGAGCACCAAAAGAGGGGAGGCUGAUGCUUCAUGGGCAAAGUAUAUUUUAAUGGAGGAGCCUCCAGAAAGUGUGCAAGGCAUCACCAGAGGACAAUAGAAAGGGUUUCCUUGGGAGAGGUCAGUGAUGUUUCUCUGAGAAGUGACAUUUAAACUGCAACACUAGGGAUCAGAGGAGGUCUCAAAGACAAAUCCAAAGCAAGAGUUGAUUUAUAACCCCAUCC